UAUGUAAUUAAUUAUUUCUGAUUUUAAUUAAUUAUUGAGACAUUUAAUUAAUUAUUUAAUGGUGUAUUUAAUUAAUUCAUUUUGGCACAGUUGACUCCUUCAGGUCUCACUUAUGGCAGUCCUGGCGUUCCAUAUGUACCAAGAAAACUACUUCUAAAAAAGGUUAUUUAAUUUUAUUUAUUAUUUUUUAUCAGGUUUUAUCCUGAUAUUGUGUGUUUUAGUGUUGCACAAUAUUCUUUUAAUCCACUGUGGACUAAGCGCACAAUAGUAGCACCUGUUCGAGGUGGGGGCGUUCCCCGAGGCGGCCUAUCAGCCGCCAGGCUGACCUGUUAAAGGGGAUGGUGAGCGCAGAGAUGGGAAGGCGACGCACGAAAGGCGAGCACGAGGAAAAGAAAUGCGCGCAAGCCAGCAUAGUGGGAGGCGAUGCAAUCCACAGCAGGGCAGGGGUGUCCCUCUGCCUGCAUCUGGCGAUGCUACUGUAGCCCGGGUUCUUUUAUUGUAAAAGGAGAGAGAGAGGAAAAGAAACGAAGGAGAAGGCAGCAGCCACGAGAGAUCGGAGGAGAAAAAAGUGUGCGCGAGAUGCGACUAGCGUCUGCAGAGACUUUUACCACGGGACGGCGAGGAUAAAUCAUCCCACGUCGACGGCUGAGUGACGGUGUGUGAAUGUGAGGUGGUGCGGCCCGGACUGGUUUGCACUGUUGCCUCGGAAUCACCUAGUUAGCGGCGUGCUAACUUGGCUAACCGGAGUUAGCCCUCAAGGCGGACUUCGCUAACGAUCACCGGACCUGUACAGAGCGAGAGGCCACUAACUGCAGAGGCGGACCGAUCAGGUUUGCUGCUUGGAAAGAGUAAGUGUGCAGCUGCAUGGACUAAGGGACGGACCUGUCGGCUUGCUGUGAGUUUGUGGAAAGAGACUAAGAGUUCCAGGUAGGAGCACCAUUUUGUUUUCUUUUAGGACCGUUGGUUCCUACGCACCCUAGCAUCGAUCCAGGCCUGCACCGAGGGGACUUGGGAAACUGGGUGGUGUGAGAGAGUGUGUGUGUGUGGCCCAUUACAGUACAGAACUGUGUAACUGUUAUUAUUGUUAUAUUUUAUCAUUGCAAGAGACUUCUUACUUUAUUGAUUUAUUGGGUGUUUACCAGUUCAUUCAGUAAACCUGCUUGGUUUAAACAGAA